rnacentral:rRNA from 1 species
GAUGAACGCUGGCGGCGUGCCUAAUACAUGCAAGUCGAGCGAACAGACGAGGAGCUUGCUCCUCUGACGUUAGCGGCGGACGGGUGAGUAACACGUGGAUAACCUACCUAUAAGACUGGGAUAACUUCGGGAAACCGGAGCUAAUACCGGAUAAUAUAUUGAACCGCAUGGUUCAAUAGUGAAAGACGGUUUUGCUGUCACUUAUAGAUGGAUUCGCGCCGCAUUAGCUAGUUGGUAAGGUAACGGCUUACCAAGGCGACGAUGCGUAGCCGACCUGAGAGGGUGAUCGGCCACACUGGAACUGAGACACGGUCCAGACUCCUACGGUAGGCAGCAGUAGGGAAUCUUCCGCAAUGGGCGAAAGCCUGACGGAGCAACGCCGCGUGAGUGAUGAAGGUCUUCGGAUCGUAAAACUCUGUUAUUAGGGAAGAACAAAUGUGUAAGUAACUAUGCACGUCUUGACGGUACCUAAUCAGAAAGCCACGGCUAACUACGUG